rnacentral:rRNA from 1 species
UUUGCUAAUACCGCAUACGAUCUACGGAUGAAAGCAGGGGACCGCAAGGCCUUGCGCGGACGGAGCGGCCGAUGGCAGAUUAGGUAGUUGGUGGGAUAAAAGCUUACCAAGCCGACGAUCUGUAGCUGGUCUGAGAGGACGACCAGCCACACUGGGACUGAGACACGGCCCAGACUCCUACGGGAGGCAGCAGUGGGGAAUUUUGGACAAUGGGCGAAAGCCUGAUCCAGCCAUGCCGCGUGCAGGAUGAAGGCCUUCGGGUUGUAAACUGCUUUUGUACGGAACGAAAAGCCUCUUUCUAAUAAAGAGAGGUCAUGACGGUACCGUAAGAAUAAGCACCGGCUAACUACGUGCCAGCAGC